rnacentral:lncRNA from 1 species
UGGAUUAAAAUAUGCAAGUUCACAUCAUGAUAGCCAACUUUCACUACAACUCUCUUUCAAAUUGUUUGUCCUGUGAUGUGGCAAAGAUAUUCUCAUACGCUUGCAAGGAUCAUAAACCACCAUGAUUUCCCAUCAUCGAUUAAAAAGUUCCUCUACAGUAUUUGGUCAUCCUGUGCACAAAUCAUAUAUAUGUAAAUCUCAAAUGAAUGAUUGAGAUGGAACUAUAACAUCAAAACUAUAAUUGUCGAAUGAUUGAUAAUGUGAAUCGCACAAUCAGAAUAACAAAGGAGAUAAAAAAAACAUUCGACACUCGAUACCCUUUAGGUACAAAUGCCACCCGCUCAUCACCCAAGUUCACAAGAACAGCUCCAAUGUGUGACCAAACGCGACUCGGCUCCAGCCUGCAGGCAUCCAAAGUGAGAUGGUGUGACAGCUUCAUGUUGCGGAAAGUAGUGGCUACUCUCGGGUGUAGUACACCCGAGUUAGCAAAAGAUUGAAAAAAUGUGAUCAAACAUUGUCCAAAAAAUCUAAACUUUUGGGACAUAAAACAUUAUCAGAUGUGUGAGGUCCUUGCAAAAUUUCAUCUAAAUAUAACAUCUGAGGAGCUCUCACCAAAAAUAACAAAAUCACUGCUCAAACAGUGCACAAAACUUUCAGCAGCGAUUUUGUUUUUUUCGGUGAGAGCUCCUCGGAUGUUAUUUUUCGAUGAAACUUGACACGAACCUCAAACAUAUGAUAAAGUUUGAUGUAGCAAAAUUUCAGAUUUUUUGGAUUUCGUUUGAUAAACUUUUUUCAAAGUUUUUGCUAACUCGGGUGUAGUACACCCGAGAGUAGAAAAUCCAGUCUCUUCAUGUUGCUGUAACUCUUCAUAGUAUACAACAAAAUCUGAUUCAAGCUUAACCACAACAAUAGAAAACAAUUGCUAGACAAAAUAUAUCUUUUGCAUAACCAGCAGGCACACCUCAAAUUACCCAACUUUAAUCAAAGUGAUAUAUAUGGUUCACGCUCAGCUCCCAUAGCCAUUCUUGUGCAGAAGAAUGUUGGGCACAUCACCUGGAAGGCACGGACAUGCAUGACUCACGGUAGUCUUGGUAUAUCAGUUUUUAAUACUUUUGCAUAUAAACAUCUUACUACAGUAAAGUGUGCUACCAAGUUAUAUUUGUAUAGCUACAGAGGUUUCCGGUAUACCUGAAUAUUUGCUUGGCCAUUAGCAUGUUUAGAUGACGGAACAUCUUCAGUUAACUGUGCUAAGUCAUGCUGAAAAAAAAUUACAGGGAUCCUGAAGGGAAGAACACUGAAUAUGUCGAAGAUAAGAACACUGAAGACUUGGAAAAUUUCCUAUGAUACAAAGUAUUGUCCCAGGUUACAUUGUCCAUCUUGGUCAGAUCCAGAAAAAACUUCACCAUCAUAGAAGUGUUUACUAUAAAAUUUAAUUGUAUAUUAUGAAAAAUAUUCAUGUGCACACAAUCGCCUAUACAAACCGGGGACUUCCUUCGCCAUAAGAACACUGAAGACAACGAAGAAACUGACUCCAAUGCUGAAACUAUUUCAGGGUCAUUACAAAAAGGAAGAAAAGACUUGGAAAAAAAUAUUAGUGAUUCGCACAAGGAGAUGUGGAAACAGUAGCACACCUUCUGUUACACUUAAGUGCGCAGCAAACUGCUUCUGAUAGAAUAUUGACAAAUAUGCAGGCAUGUGCGUGCACCAUGCUUGUUGUGCAGCAAAUCCUAAUAAGAAUUAUCGGUGGUAUAAUCCUAUGCUACCUAGACAAAAUGAGGAGCAAAAUAAUAAUAUUAAAAAAUUGUCUCGCACUGAAACAAAAAUCAAUAGCUCACCCAAGAAUGCUACCUGAAUAUGAGCAUCUAAAUCAUGUUCAUGCUUAACUACAAAAAGGAUAAUGCCAAGGAGGCGGAGAUGCAAGAUAAAUUAACAACAUCGGCAGUGAGUUGUGAAAGAAAGCCCUAGUGGAUAACAUCACCAAUUACUUGUUUAUAGUUUGGAUCCUUUCCAAUGUAGACAUUAGCAAUAAUUUUCUAUGAUACCGUGCAUAUAGGCUAAUAAUUAAAAUGCAAAAUGUCAAGAUUUGGAAAGUAAAAGGAAUCUAAUUAGAGUUUUCUGCGAGAGGAUUGUUACCAAUCAAACAAUCAGGAGUAUCGUGUUUUGGGUGCAUCUCUGUUAGCAAGUGCAGACUCAAGAUCGAGUGUUGCAGAAAUGAUUUCUUCAGUAAUAUCAGUGCCUUCUCAAAUUACAGCAAUCACACCUGCAAGAAAUUUAGCAGUAAGCAUGUUGGUUUCUAGCCACACUGAACAUAUAGAAACACAACACCAUACUGAUUCCUUUGGAGUUGUUGCCUCUGCAGCUUUAUGUGCUCCCUUUCAGUGGUUCAACCUGGACAGGAUUUGAACAAAUGUCAGUGUUAAAUCUAGCAAAAAACCGAAACAAAAAAAGAUCAUAUAUGGAUGAACAAAGGCGUGGAAUAUAUGAACACAGAGAGACUGAAAUAGAGAGAGGGC